rnacentral:rRNA from 1 species
UGGGGAAUUUUGGACAAUGGGGGAAACCCUGAUCCAGCCAUCCCGCGUGUGUGAAGAAGGCCUUCGGGUUGUAAAGCACUUUCAGUGAGGAGGAAGGUGGUGAGCUUAAUACGCUCAUCAAUUGACGUUACUCGCAGAAGAAGCACCGGCUAACUCCGUGCCAGCAGCCGCGGUAAUACGGAGGGUGCAAGCGUUAAUCGGAAUUACUGGGUGUAAAGCGCACGCAGGCGGUUUGUUAAGUCAGAUGUGAAAUCCCCGGGCUCAACCUGGGAACUGCAUUUGAAACUGGCAAGCUAGAGUCUCGUAGAGGGGGGUAGAAUUCCAGGUGUAGCGGUGAAAUGCGUAGAGAUCUGGAGGAAUACCGGUGGCGAAGGCGGCCCCCUGGACGAAGACUGACGCUCAGGUGCGAAAGCGUGGGGCAGCAAACAGGAUUAGAUACCCUGGUAGUCCACGCUGUAAAACGAUGUCGAUUUGGAGGUUGUGCCCUUGAGGCGUGGCUUCCGGAGCUAACGCGUUAAAUCGACCGCCUGGGGAGUACGGCCGCAAGGUUAAAACUUAAAUGAAUUG